rnacentral:lncRNA from 1 species
UCGUUUUAUGUAGGGGAUCCCAAAUGCUGCCCAACACUUUGCUUGCCGGUUUCCAUGGCUCUCACAUUCCCAGACCAGUCCUUCCUGGAAAAGACCAACCAAGGGUUUCCCUUACCCCUGUCUUUCAAGGGUUGUGUAUAUUUUAAAAGGGUGAGCCCUUCCCUCAUUAGAGAGCUGGAUGAGGUGCCGUAUUCAGACAGACCAUUCUGGGGAUCCCGUCCUCUGUGGCCAUCUGCCUCCCUGGACUCUGCUGUGCAUGCAGAGUCAGGCACAUAUGGCAAGAUGCUAGGCACUCCAGGCUGGGAGGUGAGUGCCUACUGCCGGCAUCUACACAUCGUGGAGCCGCCAAUACUUUUAUUUAUUUACUUACUUAAUUAUUUUGAUUAGCCAGCAGACCAGGGCACAGUGGUGACUUAGAACUUGGAAACUUGGUGUCAAGGAAGAUGUCCACUAUUGAAUUGAACUAGCUGUGGGGGAAUUAGGAGAUGGAGCUCAGGGAGGUGUAACAUGUGAUUUGGGGAAGUUUCCUGACCAUGAAAGACAAGUAGGACCUAGCCAGUAAAGUGUGUGAAAAUGCCCCAAGUAUUCUUCCACUUUGACACCAUUCAAAAAAAAAAAAAAAAAAAAAAAGACAAAUCCCUUUGACCUAGGACAAUGAACGACAACAAUUUUCAUGGGUCUUUUUUCCUUUCCCCUUCCCUACAUUUUUUUAGUUGUAUGAAUAGACUGGCUCUGUUACAAGAAUAAAUAGACGAAUUCCUCAGGGUUGUAUCCCUACCAGUGUGCUUCAUAGGAUGGGAGUAGUUUUAGAGACCAGAUAGUAUUUGAACUACAAAAGAUGGAAAAACAGAAUGGUUUUGCCAUAUUCCUUUUGACCCAAGGCUCCAUUGGAAUCUCAUUCUUUUUCUUAUUCUGGAAUUUAGUGUCUGUGAUUAUUAAGAUUGCAGUAAGAUCUUUUCUUCAUUGGAGAACUGGACUCCUGGUUUAGCAAGAGUAUUCCACAGAUGUCACAUGCCUGACGGUCUUAGGUGUCAGGGAUGCAGCAGUAGGAUUACAUUUUCAUUUAACCCCCUGUUUCUGUAGAACUUACUUCACAGGUUACAGAUACACACAUUCAUAACUGAGAGGGAAGAGUGAGGUGGUUGGUAUAGGAGAACGCAGAAAGAUGCUACUGGUGACCUCCACAAGAGCAGUUUGAAAAUAAGACCAAACGGGGUUGGGGAUUUAGCUCAGUGGUAGAGCGCUUGCCUAGGAAGCGCAAGGCCCUGGGUUCGGUCCCCAGCUCCG